rnacentral:rRNA from 1 species
GGGACACGUGGUAUCCUGUCUGAAUAUGGGGGGACCAUCCUCCAAGGCUAAAUACUCCUGACUGACCGAUAGUGAACCAGUACCGUGAGGGAAAGGCGAAAAGAACCCCGGCGAGGGGAGUGAAAAAGAACCUGAAACCGUGUACGUACAAGCAGUGGGAGCACGCUUAGGCGUGUGACUGCGUACCUUUUGUAUAAUGGGUCAGCGACUUAUAUUCUGUAGCAAGGUUAACCGAAUAGGGGAGCCGAAGGGAAACCGAGUCUUAACUGGGCGUUAAGUUGCAGGGUAUAGACCCGAAACCCGGUGAUCUAGCCAUGGGCAGGUUGAAGGUUGGGUAACACUAACUGGAGGACCGAACCGACUAAUGUUGAAAAAUUAGCGGAUGACUUGUGGCUGGGGGUGAAAGGCCAAUCAAACCGGGAGAUAGCUGGUUCUCCCCGAAAGCUAUUUAGGUAGCGCCUCGUGAAUUCAUCUCCGGGGGUAGAGCACUGUUUCGGCAAGGGGGUCAUCCCGACUUACCAACCCGAUGCAAACUGCGAAUACCGGAGAAUGUUAUCACGGGAGACACACGGCGGGUGCUAACGUCCGUCGUGAAGAGGGAAACAACCCAGACCGCCAGCUAAGGUCCCAAAGUCAUGGUUAAGUGGGAAACGAUGUGGGAAGGCCCAGACAGCCAGGAUGUUGGCUUAGAAGCAGCCAUCAUUUAAAGAAAGCGUAAUAGCUCACUGGUCGAGUCGGCCUGCGCGGAAGAUGUAACGGGGCUAAACCAUGCACCGAAGCUGCGGCAGCGACGCUGAUGCGUUGUUGGGUAGGGGAGCGUUCUGUAAGCCUGCGAAGGUGUGCUGUGAGGCAUGCUGGAGGUAUCAGAAGUGCGAAUGCUGACAUAAGUAACGAUAAAGCGGGUGAAAAGCCCGCUCGCCGGAAGACCAAGGGUUCCUGUCCAACGUUAAUCGGGGCAGGGUGAGUCGACCCCUAAGGCGAGGCCGAAAGGCGUAGUCGAUGGGAAACAGGUUAAUAUUCCUGUACUUGGUGUUACUGCGAAGGGGGGACGGAGAAGGCUAUGUUGGCCGGGCGACGGUUGUCCCGGUUUAAGCGUGUAGGCUGGUUUUCCAGGCAAAUCCGGAAAAUCAAGGCUGAGGCGUGAUGACGAGGCACUACGGUGCUGAAGCAACAAAUGCCCUGCUUCCAGGAAAAGCCUCUAAGCAUCAGGUAACAUCAAAUCGUACCCCAAACCGACACAGGUGGUCAGGUAGAGAAUACCAAGGCGCUUGAGAGAACUCGGGUGAAGGAACUAGGCAAAAUGGUGCCGUAACUUCGGGAGAAGGCACGCUGAUAUGUAGGUGAAGUCCCUCGCGGAUGGAGCUGAAAUCAGUCGAAGAUACCAGCUGGCUGCAACUGUUUAUUAAAAACACAGCACUGUGCAAACACGAAAGUGGACGUAUACGGUGUGACGCCUGCCCGGUGCCGGAAGGUUAAUUGAUGGGGUCAGCGCAAGCGAAGCUCUUGAUCGAAGCCCCGGUAAACGGCGGCCGUAACUAUAACGGUCCUAAGGUAGCGAAAUUCCUUGUCGGGUAAGUUCCGACCUGCACGAAUGGCGUAAUGAUGGCCAGGCUGUCUCCACCCGAGACUCAGUGAAAUUGAACUCGCUGUGAAGAUGCAGUGUACCCGCGGCAAGACGGAAAGACCCCGUGAACCUUUACUAUAGCUUGACACUGAACAUUGAGCCUUGAUGUGUAGGAUAGGUGGGAGGCUUUGAAGUGUGGACGCCAGUCUGCAUGGAGCCGACCUUGAAAUACCACCCUUUAAUGUUUGAUGUUCUAACGUGGACCCGUGAUCCGGGUUGCGGACAGUGUCUGGUGGGUAGUUUGACUGGGGCGGUCUCCUCCUAAAGAGUAACGGAGGAGCACGAAGGUUGGCUAAUCCUGGUCGGACAUCAGGAGGUUAGUGCAAUGGCAUAAGCCAGCUUGACUGCGAGCGUGACGGCGCGAGCAGGUGCGAAAGCAGGUCAUAGUGAUCCGGUGGUUCUGAAUGGAAGGGCCAUCGCUCAACGGAUAAAAGGUACUCCGGGGAUAACAGGCUGAUACCGCCCAAGAGUUCAUAUCGACGGCGGUGUUUGGCACCUCGAUGUCGGCUCAUCACAUCCUGGGGCUGAAGUAGGUCCCAAGGGUAUGGCUGUUCGCCAUUUAAAGUGGUACGCGAGCUGGGUUUAGAACGUCGUGAGACAGUUCGGUCCCUAUCUGCCGUGGGCGCUGGAGAACUGAGGGGGGCUGCUCCUAGUACGAGAGGACCGGAGUGGACGCAUCACUGGUGUUCGGGUUGUCAUGCCAAUGGCACUGCCCGGUAGCUAAAUGCGGAAGAGAUAAGUGCUGA